GAUGAAGAACGCAGCGAAAUGCGAUACUUGGUGUGAAUUGCAGAAUCCCGUGAACCAUCGAGUCUUUGAACGCAAGUUGCGCCCGAAGCCAUCAGGUUGAGGGCACGUCUGCCUGGGCGUCACAUAUCGUUGCUCGAUGCCUAUCGCAUUGCGAUAGGACUUAGGGCGAAUGAUGGCUUCCCGUGAGCGUUGUUGCCUCGCGGUUGGUUGAAAAUCGAGUCCUUGGUAGGGUGUGCCAUGAUAGAUGGUGGUCGAGUUAGCACGAGAUCGAUCAUGUGCAUGCUCCCCAAAAUAUGGCCUCUGUGACCCACACGCGUCUUUUGACGCUCAUGAUGAGACCUCAGGUCAGGCGGGGCUACCCGCUGAAUUUAAGCAUAUCAAUAAGCGGAGGA
rnacentral:misc_RNA from 1 species